rnacentral:rRNA from 1 species
UACGAAGGGGGCUAGCGUUGCUCGGAAUCACUGGGCGUAAAGGGUGCGUAGGCGGGUCUUUAAGUCAGGGGUGAAAUCCUGGAGCUCAACUCCAGAACUGCCUUCGAUACUGGAAGACUCGAGUCCGGGAGAGGUGAGUGGAACUGCGAGUGUAGAGGUGAAAUUCGUAGAUAUUCGCAAGAACACCAGUGGCGAAGGCGGCUCACUGGCCCGGUACUGACGCUGAGGUGCGAAAGCGUGGGGAGCAAACAGG